UUUGCCAAGAGAAACGAAAAAUAAAAUUUCAAACCAACUGUCUAUAAUAGACAAUUACUUUGGAAAGCAUGCGUAUGUUCUAUGUAUCAGUCUCCUGUUAUUCAACCGACACACCUCGUAUAAGUAAAAUAAUAAGAUAGGGAAAUAAAGAAUUUCUUUACAUAAAAAAUGACCUUGAAGUGUAUUUUUCAAAUCUUACUUCGUUUGUUCAAUUAAUUUGGAAGUUUACAGGCCGUAUGACAUUAUGCACCAUUCCGUAUCAUAUUUCUGUACAAUUUCUGGGCAAUAGAUCAAAUAUCGUGUCGGUGUCACAUUGUGUCGUGUUUAUGUUUAGCCUAACCUAACUCAUUCCUUAGUUGAAAUUAUUUUAUUCGGUUUCCUGUUAUUAUGGAGUAAAACGUAAUGGCUGCAUGUGCUGCGGCUGUAGUUGGACAUACAAUGAUAUUCCAAACUAUUUGCAAAGAUAAUUCUCGGAAAAAGCCAAAACGAAAAUGGAUUAGGCCCUGGAUUCAAAGGAGAACAAGAUUAAAUUUGUUGAACAAUGAGCUUUUGCAAGAAGAUCCAUUAGCAUAUAAAAACUUUUUAAGGAUGUCCCAGACACAAUUUGAUUACUUAUAUAAUUUAGUGAAACAAGAUAUCGAGAAAUGUGAUACUCAUUUUCGGGAGGCUAUACCAGGACGAAACAGGUUGGAAGUAACUUUACGUUUUUUGGCCACUGGUUAAUCAUAGAGAUCCCUAAUGUAUUCCACACGAAUCCACAAUAAUUAAAUUCGUGCAAGAAGUAUAUAGAUCCAUAUAUAAUCAUCUACAUCCAAUAUAUGUUAAGACACCAAAUACAAAUCAUGAAUGGGAACAAAUAGCAAAAGAUUUUGAUGAUAUAUGGCAGUUUCCCAACUGUAUUGGAAGUUUAGAUGGGAAACAUAUUAAGUUUAGACCACCACUAUCAGCAGGUUGAUAUUACUACAACUACAAAGGAGACCAUUCAAUAGUUUUAUUAGCUUUAGCUGAUGCAAAGUAUAAAUUUACAUAUGUAAAUAUGGGAGUAAAUGGAGGAGUUUUCCAACAAAGCAAACUUUCUACAGCUCUAGUUGAUGGAUCCUUGAAUAUACCCCAGCCUGCAAAAUUGAAGGGUAGAACAUUAGAAGUGCCAUAUGUGAUCGUUGAAGAUGAUGCUUUUCCCUUAACAUCACACAUAAUGAAACCCUAACCAGAAUGGCAGUUAAGUCAUUCAAUUACUGACUUUCGAGAGCACAGCGAAUAGUUGAAAAUGCUUUUGGCAUAUUAGCCAAUAAAUUUCAAAUACUAAACACAAUAAAUUUAUCUGCAAAUAAAGUAGAAUUGGUAACAUUGGCUUGUAUAGCUUUACACAAUUAUUUAGUUAAAAAAGAACCUUUACAUGUUCCAGAACGUACUAACGAAAAUGUGCAAUUAGCAGGCAUUUCAACCCAAUGUUACAGAACCAAACCAAAUACAAUUUCUCAUAAGAUUAGAGAUGAAUUUAAAGAGUUUUUCAUGUCACCUCCAGGCGUUGUUCCAUGGCAAGAAGAAGCCAUAAGAAAACACAAUUUAUAAUGUAGUAUUCACCUUUCAUUGAAAAGGUUAUUAAAUGAAAAAUAUAAAGUUUUAUUGAUUCUUUAUUGACUGUUUGUAUUAUUUUCAGUGCAUGCUAUAUUUUUUUGAUCAUAAUAGUGUUAUAAUCUAUUUUAUUUCAUUAGAUACUUUUUAGUAUAGGGUUUCCUAUUUAAAAUAAACUUUCUGCUUCCCUUGUAUCUUUUUAGGACAAAUAAAAUUAAAUUCAAGUUAUA